rnacentral:rRNA from 1 species
CUGCCCUGCACUUUGGGAUAAGCCUGGGAAACUGGGUCUAAUACCGAAUAUGACCGCGCACUUCCUGGUGUGUGGUGGAAAGCUUUUGCGGUGUGGGAUGGGCCCGCGGCCUAUCAGCUUGUUGGUGGGGUAAUGGCCUACCAAGGCGACGACGGGUAGCCGGCCUGAGAGGGUGACCGGCCACACUGGGACUGAGAUACGGCCCAGACUCCUACGGGAGGCAGCAGUGGGGAAUAUUGCACAAUGGGCGCAAGCCUGAUGCAGCGACGCCGCGUGAGGGAUGACGGCCUUCGGGUUGUAAACCUCUUUCAAUAGGGACGAAGCGCAAGUGACGGUACCUAUAGAAGAAGGACCGGCCAACUACGUGCCAGCAGCCGCGGUAAUACGUAGGGUCCGAGCGUUGUCCGGAAUUACUGGGCGUAAAGAGCUCGUAGGUGGUUUGUCGCGUUGUUCGUGAAAACUCACAGCUUAACUGUGGGCGUGCGGGCGAUACGGGCAGACUAGAGUACUGCAGGGGAGACUGGAAUUCCUGGUGUAGCGGUGGAAUGCGCAGAUAUCAGGAGGAACACCGGUGGCGAAGGCGGGUCUCUGGGCAGUAACUGACGCUGAGGAGCGAAAGCGUGGGGAGCGAACAGGAUUAGAUACCCUGGUAGUCCACGCCGUAAACGGUGGGUACUAGGUGUGGGUUUCCUUCCUUGGGAUCCGUGCCGUAGCUAACGCAUUAAGUACCCCGCCUGGGGAGUACGGCCGCAAGGCUAAAACUCAAAGAAAUUGACGGGGGCCCGCACAAGCGGCGGAGCAUGUGGAUUAAUUCGAUGCAACGCGAAGAACCUUACCUGGGUUUGACAUGCACAGGACGCCAGUAGAGAUAUUGGUUCCCUUGUGGCCUGUGUGCAGGUGGUGCAUGGCUGUCGUCAGCUCGUGU